UGUUAAAACUUCUAUCUAUUUGUACUAUAAAAACUAGCAUGGUUGACAGAAUAAUAAGACAGUAACAUGUAACAUGCCACAUGUAUCUCAUGCGGUCAUACAUGGACUAAUUUUUAAAAACAGAAAUGAAUAAAAUUUUAACA
rnacentral:pre_miRNA from 1 species